GCAAAGCUGCAGGAGGUGUCGGAGGCCCUGUCACAGAGCGAGGCCGAGGAUUCGGAGCUGCGGGCGCUGGUGACGGCACAGGAGAAGCAUUUGCGCGACCUGGAGAUGGAGCGGCGCCGCCUGGAGAACCGACUGCAGGACCUCCAGAAGUUGAACCACAACGCCGAGGAAGACUACGGCCUUCAUCUUCACGACCACCAGAGGGACAGAGACGACCCCCUAGCAACAGUGUGCGCAGUCGCAGAAUACACCAAGAUGUGCUGCGUAAUCCUGAAAUCACCAAGAUAUAAAAAGGGACCCUGGGGGGGGUGAGGUGCGCGCCGUUGGCGGAGCCGAGACUCCCCGGCCGCCCAGCGCUGUUUUCCUUGCUGUUGCUUACUCAAUAAAUUCCUUUCUACCAUUAAUGCAAUGCUCUCUGAAAAUUAAUUAAGGGGGCAACUUAUAACAAUGUUGAGCUGAAAACUUUGUUUUUUUCCCCAAACCCAUGCUGACUUUCCACCCUGAUUAAACUCCCAAAUUUCAGCAGAAUUCUCUUGAAUACUGUUGUCAUAAUUUCGUAAUUUCAGCAGAAUUUGCUUUAAUACCGCCUGCAGCUACCUGAUCACAGAACUGAGUUUUAAAUGAAAUUGUUUAAAAUCAGUUUUUUUUUCACAGGAAUUUGCCAUCCCUCCCCUUCCCUUCUCUGUUUUCCCCACUGUCGUUUAUUUGAGUAAUUAAUGUGCGAUUAUCACUGGCCUCAGCCCAAAAUUAACAGGUUUUGUUGUUUUAAGGAGGAGAGGUGCGGGGGGGAAUACGUUUGGGUUGGGAUUUAAUGGAAAAAAAAAUGGGGAAAAAAAAAAAAAGUCCCUAAAAUGCCUUUCGCAAAAUGGCGGCCGGGACCUCCCCUCAGAGCCGCCUCAGAGGUGGCGGGUUUCGUUCCGGCCGCUGAUUGGCUGGCUGCCUCCGUUGUCCCGCCCUUGCCGGCUGCUGAUUGGCUCCCGCCUCUCCGGCCUGCGGGGUUCUCCCUCCUCCCCUGGUUGCUGUCGUUGUGUUGCGAGACAGGGAAAAAUUCGCUUUUUUUGGCCGUUUUUUGCCUUUUUUUUGGCCCUUUUUCUACCUUCUUACGCGCGUUCUCGCAGCGCUGCACGCGGGCGAGCGCUUGGAGCUGCUUUCAGCACUCCCUUCCUCUGCUCUGCGCCGCGAUGGAGGCAGCGGGACCAGCGGGACCUCCGCGGGGCCGGGAUGGCGGCAGGGGCCGGGGUCGUGGCAGGGCCCGGCGGCACACGGUCCUUCCUCCUCUGCAGCACCCCUUGUUGGAGCUGCUUUCAGCGCUCCCUUCCUCUGCUCUGCACCGCGAUUAA
rnacentral:lncRNA from 1 species